UUUCCUGUAAUGCGCUGUAUGAGUGAUGAGCGGAUGGGAGCGGAGGGUAAUAGGAUUACUGCAGCUGAAUGGGAGAAAAAACUUCCCCGUGUUCCCUGCAGUCGUGGGGAGGAGGCAGCUGAUUGGUCAGAGGUGGUCGCCCCGCGCUGCGCUCCGAGGACUAAAGCUGUGCUGCCAGGUGAAGUCAGCAGACCGGGAGCAGGACAUGCGGGAUCCACACCGCCCAGGUGAGACGCCCCCCACACUGUACACACCGUCCAGGAUCUGAGGAGCCGAGGGCAGAAUGAUAGCAUGGGCCUCCACGUCUCCUGUCUGAAAGCGCUGCAGAUGUGUAACAGCAGCGACGAAGCUUCCAGAAGAUUCCCGGACAGACACCUGAACGUCCCAGACAUCAUCAUCACCCCUCCCACCCCGACUGGGACCUUGAAUGCCAAAACAGCAGUCCAACAUGGCCGCCCGGCCUCCCCCGCGAAGAGACGCAGAUGAUGGGGGAGGGGCGUUAACCCUCAGAGAAGGCGAACGUCUUGUGCAGACAGCACAGGGUGACUGCUGCGUAAUACAAACGAUAAAACUUUAUUGUCCAAGUGCUGAGACAAACACAUUUUAUAUAUUUUUAUUAUAACGUUCCCCCCCCCCCCCCCAGGACAUUUAUCUAAGUGAUGGAGCACCGCCAUCAUCCUGUCCUUCCUCGUUACUGAGAUCUCUAGAACGGGAAGAACCUGCACUAACGAACAAUAAAAAUGUGAAAACCGUC